AUGGCCAAGAUCCUGGGAGCCUCAGUGUUGGUUCUGUGGCUUCAGGCACACUGGGUAAGUAGUCAACAGCAGAAUGAUGGACAGCAGGUUAAGCAAAGUUCUCCAUCCUUGACUGUCCAAGAAGGAAAAACUUCCAUUUUGAAUUGUGACUAUAAUAAUAAUUUGUUUGAUUAUUUUGCGUGGUACAAAAAGUACCCUGCUGAAGGUCCUACAUUCCUGAUCUCUAUACGCUCGAAUUCGGAAAGCAGUAAAAAAGGAAGACUCACAGUUUUUCUCGACAAAACGGCCCAGCACCUCUCUCUGCACAUUGCGACCUCCCACCUUGAAGACUCAGCUAUGUACUUCUGUGCAGCAAGUACACAGUGCUUAGCAGGGAUCCGCAGCCUGUACUCAAACCUGCAGCUAGGGGCCAAGCCAACCCUGCUUUGGCAUUUCAGAAGAGGAGGCACCAGUCUUGCUUCCUUUAAACAUGGCAGUGUGAGGGAGCAUGCUUUAAAGUAG